rnacentral:rRNA from 1 species
UACGGAGGGUGCAAGCGUUAUCCGGAUUCACUGGGUUUAAAGGGUGUGUAGGCGGGCUGUUAAGUCAGUGGUGAAAUCUCCGGGCUCAACCCGGAAACUGCCAUUGAUACUGUUCGGCUUGAGUCCUGGAGAGGGUAGCGGAAUUCCCGGUGUAGCGGUGAAAUGCGUAGAGACCGGGAAGAACACCAGUGGCGAAGGCGGCUACCUGGACAGGUACUGACGCUGAAGCGCGAAAGCUAGGGGAGCAAACGGG